AUAGCCCCUAGACACAGCCGAGAGAAUUAUUGUCUUUGCGAAAGUCACACAUAGAAGCUAGAAUACAUUUACACAGCACCACUUCCUCCUCUCAGCCAGCACCAGAUUAUGUAACUGUUUCAUACCUCAAAGGACCAUCACUUUAGUUUGACUUUUGUUCUGCUGUCAGUCUGAGCAUAAAAUAUUGGACUAACGUCUGGUUCUGCAGUGGGUCAGUAUGUGUGGAAGACGUGCAUUCAGGCUUUCUCUGCUUCUGCUGGUGUGGUGUGUGUGCACAGACUUAGAAGAGAUUCAAGUGAAACCAUUAGAAACAGGAACAGAUUUGGGCACUCUUUCCUGUCCAAACCAAACCAUUCAUGACAUGAUGUAUGUAAUAUGUAAGAUGAUAAGUGGUGGGAGUGAGUGUCGAGUGUCUCUUCGGUUUGACCAAAAUGGUACAGACAGCACUUGUGACCCCAGAGUCACACUGCAGACAGAGAAUGACAGAGUGUUUCUAAACAUCACCAACAUACAACCAUCUGAUGAAGGGAACUACACCUGUCAGUGUGUAUUUAAUGGAGGAAUAGAUCAUUUGCAUCUCAAUAUUUCUGUCAAUGGAUCCCAUGUCACAAACAACCUUUCUUUCCAACGACCUUUCAAUGUCAUGAUAAUAACAGCCUUUGCAGGAUUUGUAGCCGUCGUGGUCCUUGUUGGAAUAAUCAGGAAGAAAUGUCAUCUCAACAGGAGAACAAAGCAGAAAGCGGUGUACACCUUUAAAGAGGUGGAGCAACAGGACAUUGAGCCCUACAGCACGUUCACAAGGAGAGACAAUGAACUUUACUCAACUCUCCAGCUGACACCUUCUAACCCCUGACCUCUGGCACCGUUGACCAAUGACGACAUGGCAUUAGACACCUUUUUCUAUCACUAGGGGUUAAAUACUAUUUCACCAACCCUGGAUAUACAACUGUACAGUAUAUCUUGAUUACUGUAAUGCCCCUAUUUUUACAGCUGAUACACUGACUUUAUAUAGUUCCAUUGAUUGGUUACUGACACCUGGCUGAAUAGGUCCUGUACUGUAGAUAGUCUUCUGUUGCUGUGAAUAUCAGCACUUACUGUAUGACUCAUGUACAUUCUGUUAGGUAGAACCAAUGUUCCUGUGGACAGAUGUGAUCAUGUGCAUUUCCACCAGGUGUCAGUGUUUUGUAUUUGUAAAAUAUAUUCCUUUGCAGCAGAAUGUACAGUCGUCAUCACAACAUGCUUCAUGACAAUGCAUUUUCCUUGCUUUCAAUGGUCCAUCGCCAUUUAUCAUGUAGGCCUACAUUAAUUACAUGUUCAGGUGAAGAGAUGUAACGACAAAACUAAAGCAAUCAUUAAAACUUCACUUCCAAACAGA